rnacentral:rRNA from 1 species
UGGGGAAUCUUCCGCAAUGGACGAAAGUCUGACGGAGCAACGCCGCGUGAGUGAAGAAGGUUUUCGGAUCGUAAAACUCUGUCUUUUGGGGCGAACGUGAGUAUGGUGAACAAUCAUAGUCAGUGACGGUACCAAAGGAGGAAGCCACGGCUAACUACGUGCCAGCAGCCGCGGUAAUACGUAGGUGGCAAGCGUUGUCCGGAAUUAUUGGGCGUAAAGAGCGCGUAGGCGGGAUAGUCAGUCUGUUGUAAAGUGCGGGGCUCAACCCCGUGAUCGCAAUGGAAACAGCUAUUCUUGAGUGCAGGAGAGGAGAGUGGAAUUCCCAGUGUAGCGGUGAAAUGCGUAGAUAUUGGGAGGAACACCAGUGGCGAAGGCGACUUUCUGGACUGUGUCUGACGCUGAGGCGCGAAAGCCAGGGGAGCGAACGGGAUUAGAUACCCCGGUAGUCCUGGCCGUAAACGAUGGGUACUAGGUGUGGGAGGUAUCGACCCCUUCCGUGCCGGAGUUAACGCAAUAAGUACCCCGCCUGGGGAGUACGGUCGCAAGACCUGAAACUCAAAGGAAUUGACGGGGUCAUAGCUGUUUCCU